GUGCGGGCGUCGGGUAAAACCGCUGACUUUUCUGCGAGCUCCUCCUCGCCCUUCCCGGAUCUGGUUUCUCCGACCCAGGAAGGAGCCUUUGUAACCUAACUGUGUCCCCAUUUAAAGUGCUCGCCCUCGCCCCACCCCCAAGGAGAGAAGAAAAGUCUGCAGGGAAAUAAUUGCGCCCUGCAGAGAGACCGGAGCUCGCGGGGACCCGAAGGCCGGCGUGGGGGAGGGGCGCCCCGGUCCGGGUCGCUCCGCACCCCACCCUCCCUACUGUGCGUGGCCGGGGCCCCCGAGCCUCGGGUGAUCGGCCGCCUUCAGAAGGCCCUGCUGCUAGGCACGGGGGCGCGCGCCGGCUUCUCUCCCUCCGUAAGCCGGUUUAGAAUCCUGGGGAUCAGCAUCUCGGGAUCCCUAAAAGUGAGGCGUGAGUAUUUGUGUCUCCGAUGCCCUCACGCGCCCCCCCCCCGCUCCCCCUUUCUGUGCCGCUUCCCUGAGCGGCUCCCCGGGUGUGAAAGGCCUCGGCUCCUCGCUGUCUCGCUCCCACCCCCGCGUCCUUUCUAACCCCAGCGUUCACUUAAGUCUAGUGGCCUCUUUCCCCUCCUUCUCUCAAUACUGUUUCAAAAUAGCUGUUACAGCAAAUAGCCGCCGAUGCGCCUCUGGAUGCCGCCAGGAGCUGGCAGCUGCCCAGCGCGGGCGCACAGCCCCCGGGCAGUUCCACCAGACCAAAAUAAGCUCCCGUGUUCCUCUCGCAGGGCUCGGCCUCCCGGGCGGGCCCGGGCAUGUUUGGCGGGGCUCGCUAUCAGCUCACAGCAAACCAUCCUGGUUUCCUACUUGACUUCCUGCUGUCCGAAACCACAAGUGUUUUUAAUUUUAGAAGACCAUGGCGUGAGGGUCCCCGAGUAGCCACGCUUCUCGGCCUCCCUGAUGCUGCGACCCUUUAACGCGGUUCUUCACGUUGUGACUCCCCAGCCAUAAAAUUAUCGUUGCUGCCUUGGAACUGUAAUUGUGCUACUGUUAUGAAUCGUAAUGUAUAGCCCCAAAGUAAGAUUGGCUUCAAGUCCUCCAAGACACCUGCUUCCACUGCUGGAUGCACCAGACCUGGUUUUGAAGGAAGUACAGUGGCCACAGGAUUACAGAUUUCAGCUGUGUGCAAAUGUGUUCACACAGGUCGAACGGCGGCGGGGUAUGUCUGGAGUGACUCUCAGGAGCCAGAUUUCUGCUGCCUGGUCUCACAGUGUCAGGGAAACCAGAGGAGGCUCCUGCCUCUGCUAGGCCCUAGAAAGACAUGCAGGCUGAGUGUCAGGAACUCCUCCGACCCAGCUUUGCUGAACUCUAGGCCCAGGGUUUGCAGGAUCCACAGCCACCAGCCCCUGGCCACCUCAGUUCCGGCUCCUCACCACCCCAGCCCUGUCAGCAGGCAAUCUCCUACUCUCUUCCUUUCAAGCUCCCACACUGUGAAAAGUCCAGUUAGCCAGACUUCCCCCCCACAGAGAGAGCCUGGUUGGGUCACUUCCCUUGUUCUGGAGCUUUCUCUACCCCCAGCUCCCUGGUGGUAGUCCCGCUUUCGGAGUAGGACUUUACACCCAGCAGAAGAACCCCGGAAGGUUUCUAUCAGUUAUAUGACACAUACACUGUGCACCUUCUCCGUAAUUUCUGUGGAGGAUUGAGUCCUUAGUCUAGUUACCUGCAGUAUUUAUAAACCAAAUAAAAUUUCCUUCCAAGUUCCCAACUGAGUCAGGUCCUGUGGCAAAGCUCUGUCUCUAGCCUGGAGACAACUGGACCACCUGACUGCCGGCUGGAGUGUGGUGUGGCCACCGCCUCUUUUGUUAACAGGACAGUUGAUCCAUUAAAUUAAAAAUCAGUCAAUAGAUCCAUUUUUUCCUAACGUGUGUGAAUACACAUUCCACCCUAAUUCUCAGACAUCAAUGCCAGCGGAGGUAGGGAACUACCAAGGGACGUUUCCACAAGUGGCCCCAAUAGGAAACUACCGGAAUAACCUCAUCACCAGAAUCCAGGAUAGCCAGAGGAACCUGGCUAGGGGCCAUCACUAAACCCCCAGUUCCCCCAACUCACUUUCUAGCAUGCCCCACUUGGGCAGACGCUGAAAUGCGGGGAUGCAGACAGAGCUGUGGGUCAGCCCCAGUGGCACUGGGGAUCCGGCAUGAGGCCCCUUGCGGCUUCUCUCUGCGCGCUGAACGCGCAGACACAAUUGGGGGGGACGGGGUAGUCUUCUUCCCACCGGGUUUUUAAGUAGCAGGAUUUUCAGAUGCAAACAAACAAACAAAAAGCCUCCUGAGGUGGGCGGUAAAAAAAAAAAAAAAAAAUCAAAGCCUCUACAUCCGAGCCAGAAACAAAAGCUCUUUGGAAGUGCCGCGGCGGGCGGGCGGAGUGCAUCUCGGAUCCCGAGGAGGAGCCGCCCGGACCCGCAUCCGGAGAAGGAGCCGGCGGGUGUCCCCACCUGCUCGCCGGCCGCUCAGUCCUGUCCCCGAGAGGAGGAAGGCGGCCAGAGGCACCACAACCACAAAUUUAUGGCCUGGGUGACGUGCUUUCCUCUCCCACAAUGGGGCCUGGUGACAUUAAACAGAAAAUUGAUGAGA